GGCGAUGAUGGAUAGCCGGCCUGAGAGGGUGUACGGCCACAUUGGGACUGAGAUACGGCCCAGACUCCAACGGGAGGCAGCAGCUAAGAAUCUUCCGCAAUGGGCGAAAGCCUGACGGAGCGACGCCGCGUGGACGAUGAAGGCGUUAUGCGUUGUAAAGUCCUUUUCUAUUGGACGAAAGCUUGACUAUAGGUUAAGUUGACGGUACAGUAGGAAUAAGCCCCGGCUAAUUACGUGCCAGCAGCCGCGGUAAUACGUAAGGGGCGAGCGUUGUUCGGAAUCACUGGGCGUAAAGGGCCUGUAGGCGGACUGCUAAGUCAGAUGUGAAAGGUUUCAGCUUAACUGAAAGAUUGCGUUUGAAACUGGUGGUCUGGAGUGUUGGAGAGGAUACUGGAAUUCCAGGUGUAGGGGUGAAAUCUAUAGAUAUCUGGAAGAACACCAAUGGCGAAGGCAGGUAUCUGGCCAAACACUGACGCUGAGGGGCGAAAGUAUGGGGAGCAAACAGGAUUAGGUACCCUGGUAGUCCAUACUAUAAACGUUGUAUACUAGACGUCAGAGGUAUCGAUCCCUCUGGUGUCGAAGCUAACGUGAUAAGUAUACCGCCUGGGGAGUAUGCCGGCAACGGUGAAACUCAAAGGAAUUGACGGGGGCCCGCACAAGCGGUGGAGCAUGUGGUUUAAUUCGAUGAUACGCGAAAAACCUUACCAGGACUUGACAUUUCGCUGAAUGGAUAGGAGACUAUUCAGUCUUUCGGGACAGUGGAACAGGUGCUGCAUGGCUGUCGUCAGCUCGUGUCGUGAGAUGUUGGGUUAAGUCCCGCAACGAGCGCAACCCUCAUCCUUAGUUGCCAACAGGAGAGCUGGGCACUCUAGGGAAACUGCCGGACGCAAGCCGGAGGAAGGUGGGGAUGACGUCAAGUCCUCAUGGCCUAUAUGUCCUGGGCUACACACGUGCUACAAUGGAUGGUACAAAGAGACGCGAGACCGCGAGGUGGAGCCAAUCUCAAAAAGCCAUUCUCAGUUCGGAUUGGAGUCUGAAACUCGACUCCAUGAAGCCGGAAUCGCUAGUAAUCGCAGAUCAGCACGCUGCGGUGAAUACGUUCCCGGGCCUUGUACACACCGCCCGUCACACCACCCGAGUGGAAAAUACCCGAAGUCGCUGAGCUAACCGUAAGGGGGUAGGUGCCGAAGGUAUGUUUCGUGAGGGGGGUGAAGUCGAAACAAGGUA
rnacentral:rRNA from 1 species